rnacentral:lncRNA from 1 species
UACGUGUAAUUUCAGAGUAACGUAACCUGUUAUAUUUGGUUACAUUGCUGUUACACUGCUGCUAUAUUACUGUGUUCACUGGGUACCAACACUUCUUUCUCUGCACUUGUAUCCUUCUCUGGAACUCGCUUCCUCCUAGCAUCAAAGAAUCCGGCACGCUGCACUCCUUCAAACGCGAACUCUUUGGUCAUCUGUGGCAGCGCUCAAUGAAUCAGCAUCCCUAGGCACACGCGCCUUCUCCGCUAUCACCCUCGUGAAUGCGCGGUUGCGUACGCAUUCUGUGCGUAACCAGUACUGGCAAGGCGUUUUCUCUCAUAUUUCGCUCAUUUGUGGUACUCAGUGUCAAAUCUCACAACUCGCUCUCUUCCUCUGCUGAAUGUUACGCGUUGCCGCGAUGAUUAUUCCCUUCGUUUGCUUUUAUUACUUAUCCAUCCGUUUCUCGUCCCGAUUCGCGUGUGUUUUUCUUAACUGCGUCAGCUUGUACUUUUUCAUGUUUUCGUGUUAUUCUCUAUACUUUAUUGUUUUUAUUGUUUAUAUUAUUUAUAUUGCAUAUUUCAUAAUCUUUUACUGCUUCCGCCGCUGUCUCAUCCGCCUUCUGUUUAUCUAUAUAAAAUGCUUAGUCUCCAUAUCUUAUGUAUUAUCUAUCGCUUUGUACAUUCUUAGAGGGCUUGCCCUAGAAUGAUCAAUAAACGCCUCCCCCCCCCCUCUCUCUCUCUCUCUCUCUCUCUCUCUCUCUCUCUCUCUCACUCUGGUCCGGGAACGUCUCAUGACCUUGGUCCACCGGACGCUAGAACUUGCUCUCUUACGGUGACCUUGGCUUUAGCUGCUGUUAGAGACGUUGUUAUUUCUAAAAAGCGUGCGCGACGUGUCCUAACGCAGAGAAAGAUUUGCGGUGUCGAGUCUGAACGGAGAAUCCUUGUAAAUGAACUACUGCCUAAAGAUAUUUACGAGCUUUUGCAACUUACCAGGCGUGUAGCUAAAGAGCGAUCUUAUAAAUACGUUUGGGCGAGGGAUGGCUGCAUAAAUGUGAGGCGCUCAGAUGGUGAACCAGUCAUCCAGAUCUCUUCCAACGCUGAUUUGGAUAAACUUGUAUGACAUGCUCCUUCUGUCCGCCCGUCAACCUCUGGCUCACCUCCUAUCUUAUCUUCAGGAUUGGCUUCUUUUUGCAUUGCUCAAUUUAAUGCUAAUUCCCUGCAAAGGCAUAUUGACUUUAUCCGACUUCACUUCUAUUCCACCUUCUAUCACGUAAUUUCAGUAUCCGAGACUUGGCUACACGCGGGCAUUUCUGACAAUCUUGUCGCUCUUGAUGAUUACUUUCUGAUCCGGAAUGACCGCGUUGGUCGAAUCGGUGGCGGUGUCGCUUGCUUUGUUCACAAAUCAUUGAAAGCCACAGUUGUAGCUGUAUCUAGGGGAGUUCAUGUCAAUGACCCGGAAUACCUGAUCAUCGACAUUCGAAUGCCAUAUAACGAGUCAUUACUCUUUGGCUCUGUCUAUAGAAGAUCUAAGGGCUUACUCCUUCAUAACUUCAUCGAUGAGCUAUCUAGGUUAUCCCACCUGUAUAAGAAUGUUGUCAUAGGUGGUGAUCUGAACUGCAAUCUUUCCACCAACAACUUUGAAGCUAAUCACCUCCGUGAACUUAUGUCAAGUCUCUCACUCCAUAGACUAUUCUCUGAGGCCACUUACCAUACUGCCACAUCCGAUUCGGUUCUUGAUGUCCUUAUUGUAGAUGAUUAAGAUAAGGUCUCAUCUUUCUCGAAGUCUGAUUGUCCAUUCAUCGCUGGGCAUGAUCUUUUGAGCCUCUCGCUUGCGUUAGAUUUCGUCAGUAGCCCUGAACGCACUAUGUUGCGUUGCAGUUAUAGAGGUAUUGUAGCGGCGGAUUUUUGCGAUUUUCUUACCACGAAUAUGACUAAUGCUUAGUUUCAAUUCGAUCUCCUGCUUAAUGACACAGAUGCUCAAUUACCCUGUGCCUUGUUGUCCAGCAUUCUCUAGGGUGCUCUUAAUGCUUUUGCGCCAGCUUGAACUUUCGCAAUCAGGAGGCCCCCUGCAAGAUGGCUUUCCGACGAUCUCAAAACUCGUCUGCGCGAUCGGAAUUUAAUAUAUAAACAGGCGAAGCGUUCGAACAGUCUACUUGGUUUUGCUAGGUAUCGACUCUUGCGCAAUCAACUUAAUACUGAUAUCAAACGUGCCAAAAGUGAAUUUCUUUUAGGUUUACUUGAAGGUGUCACCGAUCCAACUAAACUAUGGAGGGAGCUUGCGCGUCUCAGGCUUGUUAAAUCCACUUUUGCAUCGCCUCUCCAAUUUUUCACAUCUGAUCAGUUGAAUUCAUAUUAUGCUUCAGUGUCUUGCGCUUCGCCGCUGCGUUAUGAAGACUUUUGUUCUUUGCUCUUCAAUUUUACUUGUCCUCGUGAUCCUUCUAAGUUUGUCAUUUCUCAAGUCCUGCCUCGUACUAUCCUUAAGUUCAUUAAGUCGGGACCCCUUCACUCUUAUGCUUCGGGAAUUGAUGGCAUUCCUCUCUAUAUUUUGCGUAUGGCACGGCCUCACAUCUCUCAGUGGAUCGUUGCAUUAUUCAACCACUCUUUGAAGUCUGGGUCGUUUCCAUCUAGCUGGAAAUGUGCGUUUAUUCGCCCACUCGCAAAGAUCCGUGCUCCUUCAUCUCCAGCUGAUACUCGACCUAUUGCCAACUUACCUAAGCUUUCCAAAAUUCUGGAGAGAAUAGUUGCUGAACAGAUUAAUGAGUAUGUAUGUGUGCACAAUCUGUUAGAUCCUUAUCAGUCUGCUUAUAGGUCAAAUCAUUGUACUCAGUCUGCUCUCCUACGUAUUGGCGACGACAUUAAGCGAGGGAUAAAGAAUGGACUUAUUACAAUUAUGAUCUUAUUUGAUUUCAGCAAGGCAUUUGACACAGUCUCUCAUCUUCGCUUAUGAAACUUAGGAAGCUAGGCUUUUCUGAUCGUGUGCUUACUUGGUUCUUCUCGUACUUAACGGGUCGUUCGCAGACUGUGAUUGAUGAUGUUGGCAAUAGUUCUGGAUGGAUUUCGACGGCCCUGGAUGUCCCGCAAGGCUCAGUGUUGGGACCGCUUUUGUUCAUGCUCUUUUUAAAUGACAUAGGAAAAGUUUUAUCAUUUUCCAACUACAUGCUUUUUGCAGAUGACCUACAAAUCUAUUACUCUUGUUCGCCCGCCGUCGUCCUCAGAGGUAUUGAAUCCAUCUCCGUAGAUGCAUGUGCCAUCUCUGACUAUGCCAAACAAAAUGAUCUAAAGCUCAAUCUCACCAAAACUAAAGCUAUUAUCUUUGCCAGCCAAUCCCACGUCAUCAAUAUCGACUUCACUUUCUUACCACCAGUCAUUGUUGACUCGAUGCCAUUACCUUAUGUGAAUGAAGUGAGAAACUUGGGCGUUAUCUUUACGUCUAACUUUUCAUGGAAGAAGCAUGUCCUACAUGUCUCGAGGUGCGUUCAUCAUUCCUUACACAAGCUUAAAUUUAACAAAAACUCACUCCCGACCAAACUACGCAUCAAACUAGUUUGUUAUAUGCGAGCGUCUUGAGGCAGGAUAGGCGCGCGUGAUUUGCGAAAAGCGGAGCGGAUGGUCGUGCGGGAUGGAGCGGGGGAAACCGACGGAAGAAAUUUCGUUGGCCUGACUAGUCAUCGUCGGAGAGACGAGACGAACGGGUGAAACGCAAGAGAGCGCAGCGCUGCUGGGAAAGCCGAGGCCAGCAGACGGAAAAUCAACUCCCGGCUAAGAUCGAAACGACGUGCACGCUGGAGACGGCGACGUGUGAGCGAGGGUCUCUGAAUCGCCUCACGAACUGCAGGACCCUAUCGUGAAAAGCGGAGGGCGGCGAAUGCCGUCGGGAAGCACCGGAGGAAGCCGGUGGAAAAUUCUGUUUUUCGCGAGGAACCCGUAGAGCCUCCGGGACUACAGGGCGCAUGACCCUGCGGCCUCAGAACCGCGCGCCCCGUCGUGAUUGAGACCACGCGAUGCGCGAGGAUCAACGCGCAGCCCCUAAUGGGGGGUCGUGGUGUCGAUGACGGAUCGUUUGCGAUCCCCCGUUUUGCAUGCGUACGUAGGGGUUAUAUUUGGCGGACCUAGCCCGAAAUUUUAUCGUUGUUGGCGAAGCAACCGUGUCGGAAGAACCUCCCUUAGACUGUGACCUGGUAACGGAGGAGAGGACAAACUAGAAGGAGCGUUAUCAGAGAUGUGGCCCGUACUUUGCGACGAUAAUGUGAAGCCACCGGCGAGCCACCUCGUUCUUGUUCUGCAUCCGACGCAGAUUAGUGUUCGUGUUGCAUCAGCCGCGGGGCGGCCUUGCGAUUGUAGGUUUAUCGUCGGAUUCAAGCGAGAGGGGCUGUAUCACGUCGGAUAUCAUGGUUAAGGAGGAGAGCGGAUCGCGUUGGUGAUUUCCCCAGGAAGUUAGCACUGUGUGCGUCUCGCUCGUGCAAGUCGUGUUGCGCCGCGUGGGAAAAGUAGUCCUCGCGGAUAUCGUUCGCGAGUGUCGCGUCGCGCGAGAAGUUUUCGUGUCAAGAUCGGGAAGGUCAAACAGCAUGAGUCGACUAUCGUGGAACGCAUGGUCUUGUUACGGCCAACACCCUCGCGAAUUCGCGUCCGCGAUGCCGGGAUUGUUGGCAUGCCUCGAUUAUCCGGAAUAAAAGUACCGGAUCUUUCGUGCGUGAUUGGCCGUAAUCGCGUGCUACGGAAUUAUCGGAAUCCAAGUUCGGUCAUUUGCACGGGUGAAUUUCGCCUUAUAAAUUCUUCGAUUUAGCAUCUCCAUUUGCUGUUUUAAUAAAUUCUUGUUACUUGUUAUGCACUGUAUCACUAAAAUUAUUUGGUUCCUUGUCAUGUUCUGCGCUAUCUUGGUCGCAUGCGCCCCUAUCAUCAACCCUGCUCCUCUGCCGUUUGGACGAGCUAGCCGUCUUUUACGUAUGGAUUGAGGCUCUUGGUGAGUUUUGCGAAUUGACGUGCCGUCGAUCACGUCUGGCGCCCAACCCGGUCGUUUAUGCGCGGCCGAAAUUCACGCCCGGAAUAUUAGGCAUACGGGCCGUCUUGGCCUUCAUCGUUUUUGUCGUUGUUUUUGAUUGCGGCUUUCCUGCGCGGAGGAAAAAAUCGUGACAUAUAUAUUCGUAUAUAUUGCACAAUUACACUUUUAAAGAUUAGAGAGGCAAUGAAAAUAAAAGGUCGAAGCAGUCAAAGUCAGUUAAGUAGAAAAAUGGAUUAUGUUUAUUGAUGUUUAUUCGCGCUCUUCUUUCAAAUACUGCAUUCUAAACAGUGACUACCAUAUAAAUUACUAAAAAUUCCUAGAGAACAAGCUCCAUUUAGAAGGAAACCUUAAGAUCUCAUUAUAAAACAAGGAGGUCUUGAUAACAUAAGGAAUCGUCCAAUAAGGCUUCUUCAGUCUUUAAGAUAAGGAUUAUUUAUAAAUACGGGUGUUAUUCAAUACAAAAAAUGAAAAUUUUAUGUAACUUAUCUGAUUAUACAACGCAUAGUUCCCUUGUAAGUUUCAAAUUAGCACAGUCGUAUUUCCGUCCACAAUGUAAUCCACGAUGUAAUAUGCAAAUUAUGCAUAAAACUAAAAAUAAAACUAACUCGCCACUAACCUCGCGCACGUCAUCAUGUCACUAACCUCGCCACUAACCUCAUAUCAUCGCCGUGAAACUCACCGCGAAUUAACCUAACGCACGGUCACGCGAACUCGACCGCCAAUUAAAAUACGUAACCUCUCGUGUCCGUGUCAAUUUGUGUGAAGUCACCUAUCGCGCGAAAAGCAACAGUACAAACUCCUACUAUUCGUCCUGAGCGCCGGACGAUGACGACGAUGACGACAUAACGAUGUUUCUUAACUAGAUUUACUUUUGAGCGAAAAACUUUAAACGCGAUAUCUCCGCUCGUAAAUCACGUAGCGAAAAAAUAAAAAAACUUUUAUUAUAUAAAUCGGAUGCAAGCUAUCCAUUAAACUGAUUUAGAAAUCAAUGGAUUCAGUCGUUACUGAGAGUCAAUAAUCUACGAAAUCUCACAAACAGCGUCUCGCAUAAAAGAGGCAGCGGUGGUGCCUCGCUGCGCGUACACUUGGCGCGAGGCACUACCAUGAAUCUUGAUAUCUAAAGAUUUAUCUUUAGAUAUAGAUAAUAAUACAUUAAGUUUGGCAUCUAAUUUUUAAAAAAUAAUGUAUAUUUAAUAAAUAAAACGAUAUGAAUAGUAUUAAAUAACGUAUUUAAAUAACGCCAGCUGGCGCACCUCCUGCAACCCUUUGCCGCCGAGCGCGUCAACUGCGCUCGGCUUAUCUCAGCCAAAACUAGGCGUGUUCGUCGCAGGCUCGAUGGAUGGCGUCUUGGUUAAUGGAAUGAGACGGUUUUUGCUGCCUUGUGGUCGCGGCGAGCGGCGCGCGAAGUUUCGCUCGAAUUUAAUGCACUUUGCUUUCGAUAUAUUUUGCUCGCAAUAGCAUACAGCGGGUUUUCGUCCGUGAGAAAAUCACUCGAAAUUCUAUUACGCAAUAAACGCACUCGAGAUUUGCAAAGAUACGCGAUGUCGAUUUAACUUGUGACAUGCGCGGAAACGGCGGUCUGUUCACAACUUUCGAAAGCCGACUGACUGCCGAGACACGGCAUCCUGAGCUCACCAUGCCGUCGCUCUUCGCAGGACAGUCCGAUUACACGUGUCCUACCAAUUAUUUGAAGAAUAGAUCAUGUUGCUGCCACGCGCGAGCCAGCCGACGGAAUUCUCGCUCGAGCCUGGCAAUCGAAAAUAAGACUGACCUUUCCAGCUUGCUCUCGGACACACUUUUUAUGUUUUACUCUAUUCAUUUCACUUUUUCACCAAGUAACAAUUUACAGAAAUUAGUUAUGCCACUAGGUUUUCAUUUUUCCGUCAGUACAUUUGAUGGUGGAAAAGUUUUCACGUGAAAAGUUUCAUGUUUCUACAUUUCGUUGAGGUACACGAGUUUACGUGAAACUUUUCAUUUUUCAUCCUAAGGAAAAAGUUACACAAUUGAUGUUUAGAAUAAAAUACUAAAUUAAAUUAACCAUGUGAAAAAAA